UGAUUGUCGUCGAUUGAGUAUAAUCGCGGCACGUUUUGGCCGACACUAGAACGUUGACAAGUAGGUGUCCAUAGACAGCACUGAUGAAACUUGCAACACCGCUGCAAUUGCUUGGUAUAUUAGCUAAGUUCCAUGUCUUCAGACAUGUGGAGUAUAAAUACUUUGCGAAGCACAGCACAUUUUUGGAUAGAAAGAGAUCUGGCGACGCUAGAUUUGGAGGCAACGUGUUGUUACAACAACACAAAUAAUAGUAAAAGCCUUUAUAGUGGUGCGGUUGCAGCCACAAUCAUCAUCAGUAUCGGAAACAUAAUGCACGUAAAGUUUUAUUCCUUCAAAAAAAUCUGAUCAGCAUGCGGCAACGGUCAGUAAAACACUAUCGAAACUUCUGUUCAAAUCAGACCUAUAUGAAAUUUGCAAGGGAAACCGCACGCGUUCUGGAACUAUGACUGGAGUUGACGAAUGAAGGAGAAGCUGACUAAACCACCAACUUAGCUGAAGAUUGCUGCGUAAACAGCUAAAAAGAGAGUAGCCAUUAGAUAAACUUACGUCUUGCACUUAAAGAGAAUGUAUUCCUGUACAGCUCUCAUUCUACAACUACAAUCAAAGAAUAUUCACCUUCAUUUUCGAAAAUGCUUAAAACGCAUAUACAUAUAGCAUGAAACACUUUGCAGCGCACUUUGCCUCUGUUCACCCGUCUCAACUUAUUGCAACUUGCCAAAUGCGUAUAUCGCAUUUGCCGAAUAUUUACUGCAACACCAAUAAGGCAUUAGAGAAGACGCAUAUAAGGCAAAAUCGGUAUGUGUAAAGCAUACGCAAAAUAUGCAUUUAGCAUGCAAACAUUUAAUCCAGGCACAAACUUGUAUUCAGCUUCAGCA